ACAAAGACCGCGGAAGGAACUUGAAAAACAUUCGGGGCACCACGAAAAUUGAGAACUACAAAGGGAGAACCAGGGAUCAGGAUCGAAGGACCAGAAAGGCCUUAACAGUGGCAGGGGCCACCAGGGCCGCGGACCUGCUGCGCGAGGAGCUGUCGCCGUAACUUCUGCCGCUCCCGGAUCUCCUGCAAGCGGCUAUCCAUGUUCCAACUCCUGCUUUUCACUACCCCGAGUACUUGUCAAUCGCCAGUGAACCCUUGUCCAACCUUUCUUCCGAGUCUGUGGAACACUAUAUUCACCGUAAGCUUAUGAACAGAGUAUCCUUAGAGCUUUCCUCAGUAGGGACUUCCGGCGCGGCCGAUAUGGCUUGCUUGGCCCGGAAGUCCCGCCUCCUUCUGGACGCUUGCGAUGUGACGCCAUUUGGAAGGGACCCAGUAAGGGAUCUGUUGCGUUACAGGGGUCUCCAGGGCCGUCGCGGGCUGGGGUGGUCUGAGCUAGUCUGAAGGAGUAGUCAGCUGACUUCUCCUUUAUCUCUCUUCCCCAGGAUAGCAGGUUCCGUUGGUGUAUCACAGUUUCUGAAGUAUUGAUUCCCUUUUCAGUUGAUUCCACAGAUGACAGUCCUAACGUUUAAAAAAAUUGCCAGAUACCUUUAAUUAUUAUUAUUAUUUUUUAACAGAACAGGAACUUAAGCCAGAUUGCCUAGCAUUGAACCUUGGCCUCUCACUUCUUAGUCAAGUGGCCUUGGCUAGUUAAACACCUUCGUGAGCCUCAAUUUUUCUCAUUCGUAAAAUGGGAGUCAUAAGUGUCUACCUCACAGAGCUGUGAUUGAAAGCAUAAACAGCACCUGGCACAUAGCGCUGUAGAAGUGCUUAUUAUUGUUAAUAUUUUAUUUACCUUCACGCAGGUAACAGCCACAACAUCUGCCCAUUCUUCCCGACACAUUACUGUCCCUUGAAAUGGUUCCUAUUUUACUAUAGUAGGCAUUUUAUGGCUUCUUUCCUUUAGAGAAAUGAGUGUGUGAUAGUAAAGUGUGUCUUGGUUUAUGCCCUAGGAGUCAGAAGCUAAGGCACUCCUUUUUGUGCUUGUACAUUUGUCUUAACUGAAAAUAACCUAAGGAUAAGGAAACAAAUAGCUUCCUGAAAUUACUCGGAUUGCUGGGGUGAGGGGUGAGGGCUGGGGGAUGGUGAUUCUGUCGUCAUAGGAAGGCAGCAAAAGCCAAAGUCGUAUUUGAGUUAUUACCAUUAUUAUUCAUCACAUUUGCCAUCUUAUUUCAAACUUACAAAGGCAGAAGUGGACUAAGACAUCAUGUUGCCUCAAGUUUAAUUGGAAAUCGUGAGAUGGGUUUUUACUGUGUUGGAGAAGCUAGUCUCAAACUCCUGGGCUCAAGUCAUCCUGCCGCCUCAGCCUCCCAAAGUCCUUAGAUUACAGGCGUGUGCCUGGCCUAUUUUACUCAUUUUAAUAGAGGUAAGUUUGUUUCAAUUUAGGAUUUUUAAGAAAGAGAGCACACUUUCAAUGAUUAGGAGAGACACAAGAUGGAAAUAAAGAUUAUAUUACUUACAGGUUGAGGGCGCAUGAUACUCCUGGCGGCCAUACACAGAGGUCAGGGAGAGGAAGGGACCUGUGGGCCAGUACCCUUAUUAGGUCCAGAGAGUUAUCGAAAUAGGUUUCUAGCAGGGAGCUUAAUUGGUGGAUUUAAAGCAAGCAGGGGGUCAUGCUGUGAAUGAGAGGUAGUCACUGUGGCAUGUCUGCAUAGUUCGUUCCAUGUGUGAGGAUCAGCAAGGCCAGUCAAGCAGCCUGCAUCUAGCCACCACCUAGGGAAGUGGUCACCAGAGAGCAGUUGUAUAAGACAGAUACCUGGAUCCACUGCAUUGAGAAACUGGGGGAAGGGAGCAUCAAACUGAAAACUGUGUCCAAGGUGACGGAGUCCUGCCUCUGGUGUGAGAAAGCCCAGCUUAUAUUUAAAGUGGAUGUCAAAGCAAUAUAAAAUUGUAGGAAUUCAUUACCAAA